ACCAGGUGUGGUAGUAGGUACCUGCAAUCUCUGCUACUGCAGAAGGUUGAGGCCAGUGGAUCACUUGAGUUCAGGGGUUCUAAGCUACAGUGUAUUAAACCAAUCAAGCGUCCACUCUAAGUCUAGCAUUAAUAUAGUGAGCCCUCAGAGGAGGGCCACCAGGCUACCUAAGGAUGGGUAAGCUGAACCAUAUCAGAAAUACAGCAGGUUGAACUUCCAAGCCAAUCAGCACUGGGAAUAGGCUGUGAGUAGCCACUGCAUUUCCAGCCCAGGUGAGAUAGUGAGACUCAGGCA
rnacentral:SRP_RNA from 1 species